GGCCUGGUGGCCAAAUGGCAAGGCGCUUGACUACGAUUAAGUAAUCAAGAGAUUGCAGGUUCGAUCCCUGCCCAGGUCG